GACGAACGCUGGCGGCGUGCCUAACACAUGCAAGUCGAGCGAAUGAAGUUCCUUCGGGAAUGGAUUUAGCGGCGGACGGGUGAGUAACACGUGGGCAACCUGCCUCAUAGAGGGGAAUAGCCUUCCGAAAGGGAGAUUAAUACCGCAUAAGAUUGUAGUACCGCAUGGUACAGCAAUUAAAGGAGCAAUCCGCUAUGAGAUGGGCCCCGCGGCGCAUUAGCUAGUUGGUGAGGUAACGGCUCACCAAGGCGACGAUGCGUAGCCGACCUGAGAGGGUGAUCGGCCACAUUGGGACUGAGACACGGCCCAGACUCCUACGGGAGGCAGCAGUGGGAAUAUUGCACAAUGGGGGAAACCCUGAUGCAGCAACGCCGCGUGAGUGAUGACGG
rnacentral:rRNA from 1 species